CCUACGGGGGGCAGCAGUGAGGAAUAUUGGUCAAUGGACGAGAGUCUGAACCAGCCAAGUAGCGUGAAGGAUGAAUGCCCUAUGGGUUGUAAACUUCUUUUAUAUGGGAAUAAAAUGUUCCACGUGUGGGAUUUUGUAUGUACCAUAUGAAUCCGGAUCGGCUAACUCCGUGCCAGCAGCCGCGGUAAUACGGAGGAUCCGAGCGUUAUCCGGAUUUAUUGGGUUUAAAGGGAGCGUAGGUGGAUUGUUAAGUCAGUUGUGAAAGUUUGCGGCUCAACCGUAAAAUUGCAGUUGAAACUGGCAGUCUUGAGUACAGGAGAGGUGAGCGGAAUUCGUGGUGUAGCGGUGAAAUGCUUAGAUAUCACGAAGAACUCCGAUUGCGAAGGCAGUUCACUGGACUGCAACUGACACUGAGGCUCGAAAGUGUGGGUAUCAAACAGGAUUAGAUACCCGGGUAGUC
rnacentral:rRNA from 1 species